GAAAUAAAAGAAAUGAAAAAGAAAAACAAAGCAAACGAAACAGAGAAGAACAGGGAGAAAGAAAGGAAAGAAAGAAAGAAAGAGAGAAAAGGGAAAAUCAAGGUUUUGAAGCUUUAAACUUUAAUAGUCAAUGUGGUACCGAAAAUCUCGGCUAAGGAAGGACAAGACAAAGUCAACUGGAGUUAGCUCGAAAAUUACGGUUUGUAUUUAUAUAAUCUGAACUCAGUCAUUAUUUGUUAUAUUUAUAAACAUAUGACAAUUGUUAGUGUUAGAAUUAUGAUGUUUUACAAUUGAAAUGGAUUGAUUUUGGUA